GCCUUUGUUACUUAGUUGGGAAAACACCCGACUAUAGUGCGGUAGGAUUCGGGAUCGAGCCCCGAUGAAGGCA